GACGUGGGGUGGGGUGGGGUAGGGUGGGGUGGGCGCCCGCGCGGGGCUCGGAGCCGCCGCCCGACGUGGCUUGGCUCGGCUCGGCUCGGCUCGGCUCGGCUCGCGCCCCAGCUGCUGCGCUGGCACCUGCAGGACUGCGGAGAAUACAAGUUUUAUGCUGGAAGUCGGGCGCUUUCUCCAAAUAAUACAGCUCGUUAAGGGAAAGCAGCCAACUUCAGUAAGGGUCUUAAAGGCGUCUUCUGCCCACAGCGAGCUAGUGAAAGUAGCAAUUAAGGGGCGGGUCGCUAAAUUCUUGAGUACUCAGGUGCACUCCUGUUAACCUCUACCACACUCAGCUUUCCUUGAAAAGGACUUGUGUUUCAGAGUAGAAGUUGUCAUCUGAUCUUAGUUCUUAGAGACAGUUCAUUUCUACAAUAAUGGCCGUCAGUAACUGCACACUUAAAGAGUGUACAAGAGAGCAGGAGAUUUUAGAAAGGAUUUAAAAUAAGAGCCUCCUCGUCUUUCCUGUUAAAAAAAUUAAUGAGGACGAUAAUUUGCAAUACUUAUUUUACUCCCUUGCCAAAUGGUUACAGCAAUGGGUGUGUCCAGGAGGCAAGGUGACAUCUUAAACAGUAGUUGGGGAUCCCUGCCAACUGAAACCUCCAGCCUGCUUGGGUGUGGGGAGAGUUCACCUUGGGGAGAGCUAGCAUUCAUUUAACUUUGGUGAAUUUUUUGUGUUUUGAUAUGUAUUUUUUAACCAAUGAAUUUUAAUAUGCUGACUGAAUUUGUUCUUUGUAAGGGGGAACAGGAUAUAAAUUAUAGGCAUGUAGUUGACACUCCAAGUUGUGUAGUAACAUAUUUUUUUAGUUUAGCAGGAUAGGAUUUAAUUUUUUACUGGAAAAUUAGAAUUUAUAUCUUACAGUGGUUCUUGUCCCCAGUAAGUUUUUAUAGUUAAAUGUAUCAUUGAUAGAUACAUCGACAACUAUGCUAGUAACUUCAUAAGACUUUAGUUUGUGAGGACUCUGUUAAAGAGAAAAUAUCCUUUAGACACCUAUGUAUAUAGAAUUUUGCAUGCAGUCACUAUAUUUUUAUUGGGAAGUCAUGUAUUGGAAGGAAUGUGUGCUGUUGACUACUGGUGACACAAGAUGUAAAGAGUAGAAAAUGUCUUGAGUGUGUUUAAGUCAGUCUAUGAACCUGAAGGUUUUUAUUAGGCUCAAAAAUAAGAAUUUUCUUUGGCUCCAUUAUAAUGUAGAAACUUGUAGCUUAAGCUAGAGUGUGGGCUUUCAGUCAGGGUCCUGAUUUCUGCGAAGUUUUGUUCCUCUACUUGUUUCUCUUUUGACUCAAGGAUUUUAGAAUCAGGUGCCAUUCUGUCAGAAUAAAGAACCCCCUUUUUCCUACAGAAAUAACUUAGAUUGGUUUUGAUGCACAUAAAAUAAUUGCUAUAGUUGUAGAAGAAAUGAUCGAGGAAGCCUUGGUGUGGACAGGAUGAAGAUGUGUUUGUGUUCACUGAAGCCAUGGAGACAUACAUUUAUUCAGUUACGCUAGAUUUAAAAAAAAAAAAAAAACAGCCAUUUUGAGUGCUAUUUAGAAAAUGCUUUAAAUGUUCGUAAUGCAUUCAGUUCAGCUGACUUUGUAAUACAGGUUAUAGUUUCUAGAUAGAGAUCAACCGUAGUAACCCAAAAUGCAGGAUCUAGUUUAAUAGGUUGGAAUUGAACCUGAAAGUACGCUGGAAAUCUCUGGAAUGACAAGAACAACAGGAAGGAUUACACCAAUCCUUGCAGAAUGGAGAGAGUUAAGAACUAGUCAUCUCUCUGGUGAAUUAGUCUUCCUCUUAUUGUGAUAAACACAUGCUAAUGAGCUUGUAUUUUCCCAAAAGUAUAAUUUUGGUUCUAAGAAAAUGGCACUCUUCAUAGACAGAAGAAGUAGUUGGACAUAUGGAGUGCCAAGAAGUCUUUGCUGUUGAUUUUUAGGAGUUUUUAUUCUAGAACUUAUUGAUAGUUUAUUUUCAAACCUUAAACUCGGAGCUGGAGAGCUGGCUUAGGGGUUAGGAGCACUGAUGCUCUUCUUGAGGACCUGGGUUAAAUUCUCAGCACCCACAUGGUGGCUCACAACUAUCUGUAACUCCAGUUCCAGGGGGUCCUAACACAGACAUGCAUGUAGGCAGAAUACCUAAAAUAAAAUUUUAGAUGCACAUAAAAUAGAGUUUAGAAAAACUCCUUAAACUCAAGAAAGAACUUUUCUUCGUGAAGCCUUGGAAGCAAAGUUGAAAGGUUUUCUAGUUAUCUGGCAAACUAGUUUCUGUGUGCCUGGUUCAUCCCUUGAGGGUGAUUUUUUUAUGCAGUAUUCUAAAAUUUAUUGUUAAUGUCUUGUUUCCCUGAGACCUUAUACACCUACCUAUAGUCUGACACCUCUACCAUUCUUUGACCCAGCCCUAUUGAAACUAAAAUCUGUGUAGUCAGUGGCCGAUUUCCUGCUCUAAUUCAUAACAUGCAUUCCUUCCGAUUUCCACACUACAGUACCUGCCACACAUUUAAGCUUGGCAUCUUUUUAGGCUUAAAGUAAUUUUGGUUGGUGCUGCUCAUUGCCUUUUGUUUUUGCAAGUAAAUUUUCUUUGCUUAGAUUUAAUGUGAAGCAUGGUGAGCUGUAAAAGGCUUUGUAUUGCCAUACGUUUUUACCUUCUGUAUGGGAAAUUGACUGUUUAGUUAAUUUGUAUACAUUGAUAGCUAAGCAUUAGCUAAAAAUGGUUGGUGUUGUAGAUGAAAUUACCUAUGAGAGGUUGAGUAUUAUGUCCCAGGUUGCACAGCUUAUGAAACCAGGGUGUUGAAAGAUUGAUAUUUAGAGAAGUAGUAAAACCACCGGACAAAGCUGGCAUUUCACUUUUAAGUCUACUACUUUCUUUCCCCCUUUUUUCUCCCCUUAGUAGUAGGAAUUGGACUCAGGACUUAACAUGGUUGACAAACACCAUAUAGAGGACCCUACAUCCCUAGCUCUAACCUUAUUUUCUUUUGUUUUAAAGAGAAAUUAAUUUAUAUUGUAAUUAAAUUGGAUGUUGCUUUUUAAAUUAAGAUCUUGCUGUGUUGACCAUAUUGGCCUCCACCUAAUGACCAUACUGCCGUGGGUCAAAUCAAAUUGUUGAGGAGGAAAAUUAUCUUUUGGGUUCCUCUUCAAAUCCUUAUGCUGUGCCCUAGAGAAAUCCAUGAGGCCAUUUCUAUAAAGGUA